UACGGAGGAUCCGAGCGUUAUCCGGAUUUAUUGGGUUUAAAGGGUGCGCAGGCGGGAGAUUAAGUCGGUGGUGAAAUUUUGCAGCUCAACUGUAAAAGUGCCAUUGAUACUGGUUUCCUUGAGUGUGGAUGAAGUAGGCGGAAUUUGUGGUGUAGCGGUGAAAUGCAUAGAUAUCACGAGGAACUCCGAUUGCGCAGGCAGCUUACUAAACCAUAACUGACGCUCAGGCACGAAGGCGUGGGGAUCAAACAGGAUUAGAUA
rnacentral:rRNA from 1 species